rnacentral:tRNA from 1 species
GGUCUAUUAGCUCAGUUGAUUAGAGCGUCGUGCUAAUAACACGAAAGUCACAUGUUUGAGUCUUGCAUGAGUCA